UACAGAGGUCCCAAGCGUUGUUCGGAUUCACUGGGCGUAAAGGGUGCGUAGGUGGUGAGGUAAGUCGGAUGUGAAAUCUCCGGGCUCAACCCGGAAACUGCAUUGGAAACUACCUUGCUUGAGGAUUUGAGGGGGGAUUGGAAUACUUGGUGUAGCGGUGAAAUGCGCAGAUAUCAGGAGGAACACCGAUGGCGAAGGCAGGUCUCUGGGCAUUAACUGACGCUGAGGAGCGAAAGCAUGGGGAGCGAACAGG
rnacentral:rRNA from 1 species